rnacentral:rRNA from 1 species
AACGAACGCUGGCGGCAUGCCUAACACAUGCAAGUCGAACGAGACCUUCGGGUAUUUUUGCGCACGGGUUCGUAAGGCGUGGGGACCUUCCCUUGGGUUCGGUAUAACUCCCCGCAGGGGGUGCUAAUACCGGAUAAUGUCUUAGGACCAACGAUCUAUUGCCUUAGGAUGGGCCCGCGUUGGAUUAGCUAGUUGGUAGGGUAAAAGCCUACCAAGGCGACGAUGCAUAGCUGGUGUGGGAGGAUGACCAGUCACACUGGGACUGAGACACGGACCAGACCCCUACGAGAGGCAGCAGUGGGGAAUAGUGGACGAUGGGCGAGAGCCUGAUCCAGCCGUGUCGUGUGAGUGAUGAAGGCCUUAGGAUUGUAAAGCUGUUUUACACGGGAUGAUAGUGACAGUAACGGGAGAAUAAGCUCCGGCUAACUACGUG